CAUGGACGAACAACCCCACCACCAACCGACAACCCACCCAUAACAACGACGACAACCGAAAGCCCAACACCAAGGAGAACAACGCAAAGGCUCAUAACAGAAUGCGAAGCAGGGAGAAUCAGAGCUCACAGUGAUCAAAAUAAAUUUGAGGUGUUGACUCAAGACGAAAACGGCACAGAUACAUGGGUCGUGUCUGACUGUCAACUUUCGGCGCUCAUAUUUAAUGAGUCGUUCUGCGCUUGCGUGUAUCCUCCUCAGCCUCCGUGCCCUUAUAAUGCGGUCGAGGGGUCGUCUGUGGAGUAUCAGGAAGCCUUGCCUCCCUUCAAUGUCCAUGUUUGCACCCCUAUUAACACAUUCUGGAAUCAGACCGGCUGCAGGUGUGAUUGGAAUCCCGACGGGCCUCAGGCAGUCCCCGUACCUGACGUUACACCAUGUGAGACGAUUUUUAGUACAGACUUUAAUUCUAGCCCAGUUCCUAAUGUCAUAGUAAGGGGAGCGACUUCUGUCAGAACAGUUGACGCACUUGGUGCAAACGGU